ACGCAAUUUUUUUUGCCAUGUGGAAAAAGUGAUGAGAAAUCUUUUUGUCGGGAAACUUUAUCUGUCGCCAAGGUAAGGCACCUCUUUAUUUCAUUGGAGAGUUAAACUUACAAAAAAAAAAUAAUUAAGGGUGUUACAAUGGGCUCCUAAAACAAUGAGGUGUAUGCAGUCAUGCUACUAAUCUGUGUUUAUUCUUGUAUUUCCAAACAAAUUUAAUUCCUUUUUUGACAGAAGAAGAGGUCUUAAAUACCCUAAACUUCUGUUUUUUUUAAAAUAGACCCAAACUAAAUCUAUAAGGGCUGAACCUUAUGGUAUAGCUGUCCUUUUAGCCAACAGAAAUCACAGCGGAAAGUGACAUUCCUAAUAGCUUAAGAAAAACUUUACUGAUUAAACAGAUUAUUUAAGCUGUGAAGUAACAGAAGUACAUGCUCUCAGUUCUGCCAUUCACAGAGGUAUUUGUUUCCAGCUGUAAUGAAACUCCAUGGGUUUCUUUCUACAUGUCAUAUUCUUUUAAUCAUCUUUUCCAUUUAUGUUGUGUAUGAAGAAUAUUUCUUGAUGACUGAUAGAAACCAAAUCGCCAAGAUUGUGACGUGCAUGAAGUCUUUUAGGAGCAGACCCACAAACAGAAUUGGGCGCUUAGCUGAUCACCCAUUCAAUGCUCUUGCAUUGGGCCAAGGAGGUCUACUCAUUUGUUCCUUUAGUCCGGAAUGUGUUUCACUUUAUCUUAAUGUACUGUUACUCUGCAUUGUAAACUCUUAACAGUCUUUCUUUCAGUAUCACAAAGUAGAAAUGGACAUAACUAGGAUACAAGAGGUUGAAUAGAAGCUCUCUUAAAUUUUCUUCCUUGGCAUCUGAACCAUGCGGAGACCUGUGGGUGCAGCAUGCAGUAAGGGAAACACCUGUUGAGUUUGGGGUCAGCAGACAUGGCAUUUUUUUCAGUCUGUUCAGUUAGUAAAAGUCAGGUAGCAUCUCCAUACCUGUACAACUGGAUUGGCUGUAAGGGCAGUGUGUUAACGAGGACCUGCUGCUUAUGACCAGAAGCUAGGAACAUCACAGAAUCUGCUAGUGGAACCAUGUGAUUCCAAAGGAUUUAUGAACCCAUUCCAGUUUCUCCCUGACAAGAUUUUUUUGUUUGUUUUACUUUAAUAUUUGUUAUGUGUAAUAAUGGUGUAGGAUGUAGUGCGGUAACUUUCUAGAUGGUUUUCUGAGGCUGUUCCUGAGAUUGCAGUCUUCACAUCGGUAGAAACUGAUUUUGCAAUUAACUUCUUUAUGUUUAAAGUAAUUGUCAAGCAGACAAUAUAUGUAAAUCUUAAUAAGCUGUUUUCCUCUUAGAUUUCAUAUAGCGGUGAACUCAUUUUUAGAGAAGCAUAAACCUGAAGUGGUGGAAAUACAUGUGUCGAUGAUGCCUGCUAUGCUUGCUAUUUAGACUUCGAUCCUGGACAUUUUGAAUGCGUGUCUGAGAGAACUCAAACGUUACGGUCCAGCUCUUGAAUUAGAUCUAUCUUUAGAAAAUGCUAUUGAUAAACCUUUUGACAAGGUCACCAUUUUGAUUGUUCAGUCAGUUAUUUAAAUGGCAACUAUAGCAGUAUUGACUGGUAAAGGAAAAAUGCACACAGACGUGAUUACCACUGGGCUUGCUUUAGUCACGACUCAGAGCUGGGCCCCCACCCCAGUGAAAGAUUCAAAGGGAAGUGCUGUGGGUAGCAAGGGUCCAAGGGUGGGUGUCACUAGGGAAAUUUCUGGGGGCCAUUGUUAGGCACUUGGGCUUUUGCACAUCUCCAUUCUCAUCGGGUCCGCAGUUAACAUAUGCGAUAGGUUUGCACAGACAUUCAAAGGUGUAAUGUAGCAUGUGAGCUUGAUCCAUUGAAGUCUUCCAGGAGAGGGUGUAUAUGAAUGCUAGCAAGUGUCAGGGAAGACUGACAUCUAAUAUCUAUAUCCUUUUCAUAUUCCAGGUUAAAAUACUAAUUACCUUUGUCUUUUGGGGGAUUUUGGAGAUUUUGGUGGGUUUUUGGGGGAGUGUGUGUGUUUGUGGUAAGUUUAGUGCUUUAUUUUUGAACGCAGCUUGUUUUCAUACAGAGGACCACUGUUGUUUAUUGCAUUAAAGGUUUUCUUACCCUGCCAGCUGACCCUCUCAGUUACUUUCUCCUUCCUUUUCUGUGAUACCUUUUUGUAUUUC